UGACUUCUUCCCCAAAACCUUUGAGAUGC
rnacentral:piRNA from 1 species